AACGUAGGUGGCAAGCGUUAUCCGGAAUUACUGGGCGUAAAGGGUGUGCAGGCGGGGGAGCAAGUGGGGUAUGAAAUAUCCCAGCUUAACUGGGAGGGGUUAUGCCAGACUGCUUUUCUAGAGGACGAGAGAGGGGGGUGGAAUUCCGGGUGUAGUGGUGAAAUGCGUAGAGAUCCGGAGGAACCCCAGAGGCGAAGGCGGCCCCCUGGCUCGUACCUGACGCUCAGCCACGAAAGCAUGGGGAGCGAACGGG
rnacentral:rRNA from 1 species